CAUGCAAGUCUCUUGAUCCUUCGGGUGAAGGUGGCGGACGGGUGAGUAACGCGUAAAGAACUUGCCUUACAGACUGGGACAACAUUUGGAAACGAAUGCUAAUACCGGAUAUUAUGACUGAGUCGCAUGAUUUGGUUAUGAAAGCUAUAUGCGCUGUGAGAGAGCUUUGCGUCCCAUUAGUUAGUUGGUGAGGUAACGGCUCACCAAGACGAUGAUGGGUAGCCGGCCUGAGAGGGUGAACGGCCACAAGGGGACUGAGACACGGCCCUUACUCCUACGGGAGGCAGCAGUGGGGAAUAUUGGACAAUGGACCAAAAGUCUGAUCCAGCAAUUCUGUGUGCACGAUGAAGUUUUUCGGAAUGUAAAGUGCUUUCAGUUGGGAAGAAGUCAGUGACGGUACCAACAGAAGAAGCGACGGCUAAAUACGUGCCAGCAGCCGCGGUAAUACGUAUGUCGCAAGCGUAAUCCGGAUUUAUUGGGCGUAAAGCGCGUCUAGGCGGUUUAGUAAGUCUGAUGUGAAAAUGCGGGGCUCAACCCCGUAUUGCGUUGGAAACUGUUAAAACUAGAGUACUGGAGAGGUAGGCGGAACUACAAGUGUAGAGGUGAAAUUCGUAGAUAUUUGUAGGAAUGCCGAUGGGGAAGCCAGCCUACUGGACAGAUACUGACGCUAAAGCGCGAAAGCGUGGGUAGCAAACAGGAUUAGAUACCCUGGUAGUCCACGCCGUAAACGAUGAUUACUAGGUGUUGGGGGUCGAACCUCAGCGCCCAAGCUAACGCGAUAAGUAAUCCGCCUGGGGAGUACGUACGCAAGUAUGAAACUCAAAGGAAUUGACGGGGACCCCGCACAAGCGGUGGAGCAUGUGGUUUAANUUCGACGCAACGCGAGGAACCUUACCAGCGUUUGACAUCCCAAGAAGUUAACAGAGAUGUUUUCGUGCCUCUUCGGAGGAACUUGGUGACAGGUGGUGCAUGGCUGUCGUCAGCUCGUGUCGUGAGAUGUUGGGUUAAGUCCCGCAACGAGCGCAACCCCUUUCGUAUGUUACCAUCAUUAAGUUGGGGACUCAUGCGAGACUGCCUGCGAUGAGCAGGAGGAAGGUGGGGAUGACGUCAAGUCAUCAUGCCCCUUAUACGCUGGGCUACACACGUGCUACAAUGGGUAGUACAGAGAGCUGCAAACCUGCGAGGGUAAGCUAAUCUCAUAAAACUAUUCUUAGUUCGGAUUGUACUCUGCAACUCGAGUACAUGAAGUUGGAAUCGCUAGUAAUCGCAAAUCAGCUAUGUUGCGGUGAAUACGUUCUCGGGUCUUGUACACACCGCCCGUCACACCACGAGAGUUGGUUGCACCUGAAGUAAUCAGGCCUAACCGUAAGGAAGGGAUGUUCCGAGGGU
rnacentral:rRNA from 1 species